CUCACUGCGGGGACUGCGGCCUCGGUGAUCCCACCCGAAGUUUGUCCCGCCGCAAUUCCGGAGCCCCUGGCCUCGUCGCGGGGUCACAUGGUGUCUGCGAUCCAGUUCCGGUUGGAGAGGAAGCCCAAACGAAGGGGACAGUUCGUGUGGCCUGAGAUCCCAAGUCUCUGCCUGGGCAGCAGCCCCGCCCCUCCUGCAAAUCAUUUACCGGGAAAUUGGAUUGGACUUUAUCCAGAGUACCUUAAUGUCCCUUGAUGUGUCCUGUUUCACAACUGGACACAUGUUCUUGCGUUUACAAGGAAGUCAGUAAACUGAACGGUACUUUUAUGGAAA